rnacentral:rRNA from 1 species
GACGGAGGAUGCAAGCGUUAUCCGGAAUGAUUGGGCGUAAAGCGUCCGCAGGUGGCAGUUCAAGUCUGCUGUCAAAGACCGGGGCUUAACUUCGGAAAGGCAGUGGAAACUGAACAGCUAGAGUAUGGUAGGGGCAGAGGGAAUUCCUGGUGUAGCGGUGAAAUGCGUAGAGAUCAGGAAGAACACCCGUGGCGAAGGCGGCCCCCUGGGCCGUACCUGACGCUGAGGCGCGAAGGCUAGGGGAGCGAACGGG